rnacentral:rRNA from 1 species
GACGAACGCUGGCGGCGUGCUUAACACAUGCAAGUCGAACGAAGAGCGACGGAAGCUUGCUUCUAUCAAUCUUAGUGGCGGACGGGUGAGUAACGCGUAAUCAACCUGCCCUUCAGAGGGGGACAACAGUUGGAAACGACUGCUAAUACCGCAUACGAUCUAACCUCGGCAUCGAGGAGAGAUGAAAGGUGGCCUCUACAUGUAAGCUAUCACUGAAGGAGGGGAUUGCGUCUGAUUAGCUAGUUGGAGGGGUAACGGCCCACCAAGGCGAUGAUCAGUAGCCGGUCUGAGAGGAUGAACGUCCACAUUGGGACUGAGACACGGCCCAGACUCCUACGGGAGGCAGCAGUGGGGAAUCUUCCGCAAUGGACGAAAGUCUGACGGAGCAACGCCGCGUGAGUGAUGACGGCCUUCGGGUUGUAAAGCUCUGUUAAUCGGGACGAAAGGCCUUCUUGCGAAUAGUGAGAAGGAUUGACGGUACCGGAAGAGAAAGCCACGGCUAACUACGUG